UACCGAGGGUGCGAGCGUUGUUCGGAAUUAUUGGGCGUAAAGGGUGCGUAGGUGGGUUGGUAAGUCAGUGGUGAAAUCCCCGAGCUUAACUUGGGAACUGCCAUUGAUACUAUCAGUCUUGAAUACCGUGGAGGUCAGUGGAAUAUGUCAUGUAGCGGUGAAAUGCUUAGAUAUGACAUAGAACACCAAUUGCGAAGGCAGCUGGCUACACGAAUAUUGACACUGAGGCACGAAAGCGUGGGGAUCAAACAGG
rnacentral:rRNA from 1 species